rnacentral:rRNA from 1 species
GACGAACGCUGGCGGCAUGCCUAAUACAUGCAAGUCGAGCGAACAGAUGAAGUGCUUGCACUUCUGACGUUAGCGGCGAACGGGUGAGUAACACGUAAGGAGUCUACCUAUAAGCGGGGGAUAACAUUCGGAAACGGGUGCUAAUACCGCAUAAUAUCUUCUUCCGCAUGGAAGAAGAUUGAAAGACGGCUCUGCUGUCACUUAUAGAUGACCUUGCGGUGCAUUAGUUAGUUGGUGGGGUAAUGGCCUACCAAGACGAUGAUGCAUAGCCGGGCGGAGAGGGUGAUCGGCCACAUUGGGACUGAGAAACGGCCCAAACUCCUACGGGAGGCAGCAGUAGGGAAUCUUCCGCAAUGGGCGAAAGCCUGACGGAGCAAUGCCGCGUGAGUGAAGAAGGCCUUCGGGUCGUAAAACUCUGUUAUAAGAGAAGAACAAAUUGUAGAGUAACUGCUACAGUCUUGACGGUAUCUUAUCAGAAAGCCACGGCUAACUACGUGCCAGCCGCCGCCGUAA